AGCUUUGCGCAAUGGCAGUAUCAUAGCCAAUGAGGUUUAUCCAAGGCACGAUUAUUGCUAAUUCAAACUUUGCAUGUAAUCUGAUGGAGCAUGUUUCAUAAUGUGGCCUGCAGAUUACCUGCAUCUUUAAAAAAAAA
ensembl:snRNA U4 U4 spliceosomal RNA